AGAGUUUGAUCAUGGCUCAGGACGAACGCUGGCGGCGUGCUUAACACAUGCAAGUCGAACGGAAAGGCCCCUUCGGGGGUACUCGAGUGGCGAACGGGUGAGUAACACGUGGGUGAUCUGCCCUGCACUUUGGGAUAAGCCUGGGAAACUGGGUCUAAUACCGAAUAGGACCGCAUGCUUCAUGGUGUGUGGUGGAAAGCUCUUGCGGUGUGGGAUGGGCCCGCGGCCUAUCAGCUUGUUGGUGGGGUAAUGGCCUACCAAGGCGACGACGGGUAGCCGGCCUGAGAGGGUGUCCGGCCACACUGGGACUGAGAUACGGCCCAGACUCCUACGGGAGGCAGCAGUGGGGAAUAUUGCACAAUGGGCGCAAGCCUGAUGCAGCGACGCCGCGUGGGGGAUGACGGCCUUCGGGUUGUAAACCUCUUUCAGUAUCGGCGAAGCUCCAGGAUUUUUCUUGGGGUGACGGUAGGUACAGAAGAAGCACCGGCCAACUACGUGCCAGCAGCCGCGGUAAUACGUAGGGUGCGAGCGUUGUCCGGAAUUACUGGGCGUAAAGAGCUCGUAGGUGGUUUGUCACGUUGUCUGUGAAAACUCACAGCUUAACUGUGGGCGUGCGGGCGAUACGGGCAGACUGGAGUACUGUAGGGGAGACUGGAAUUCCUGGUGUAGCGGUGGAAUGCGCAGAUAUCAGGAGGAACACCGGUGGCGAAGGCGGGUCUCCGGGCAGUAACUGACGCUGAGGAGCGAAAGCGUGGGGAGCGAACAGGAUUAGAUACCCUGGUAGUCCAA
rnacentral:rRNA from 1 species